rnacentral:rRNA from 1 species
AACGAACGCUGGCGGCGUGCCUAACACAUGCAAGUCGUGCGAGAAAGUUCCUUCGGGAGCGAGUAAAGCGGCGCACGGGUGAGUAACACGUAGGUAACCUGCCCCCCAGUCUGGAACAACUAGAGGAAACUCUAGCUAAUGCCGGAUAAGACCACGGCCCCCUCGGGGGCUGCGGCCAAAGAUGACCUCUACUUGUACGCUAUCGCUGAGGGAUGGGCCUGCGGGCCAUUAGCUUGUUGGUGAGGUAACGGGCUCACCAAGGCUGUGAUGGCUAGCUGGUCUGAGAGGAUGACCAGCCACACUGGGACUGAGACACGGCCCAGACUCCUACGGGAGGCAGCAGUGGGGAAUAUUGCGCAAUGGGCGAAAGGCCUGACGCAGCGACGCCGCGUGGGUGAUGAAGG